rnacentral:lncRNA from 1 species
GUAGAAUGAUCAAGAAUGAUCAAGCAUGGUUGACCUCAUGGCUUGACAAAAAAUUUCAUGAAAUGGUGAGUAAUUUAUUACAGUCGUCAAGUCACUUAUCAAAUGUGUAUAAUUUUUAAACUUAUUUAAUCGAAUAUUUCAGGUAAGUAAGAAUGAAUAUUCGAAGAGAUCAAAGAAGGAGCUAUUGACCUGACUUGAUUGAUUUGUAAAUUAUUAAUUGAUUGAUUCUUUGUUUAAUACUGUAGUAUUUAUAUAAGGUCUAAUUCUCAUAAAAAAUAAAUAUAAUCAAAGUUUUGAUUUUUCCUAUGAAAUUUCUCAAAAUAGACUAUCUGGAUAUAUAACAUUUGUGUUCAAUUCAUUUUUGAACUGACAACAUUUCAAAUUUAGUUUCUCUUUUCUGAUAAAUAAAAAUUUAUAAAUCACAAACAAAUCAUUGUUAUGACAUGAUUAAUUGUAUUAUAUUCAAUAUCUUCAUUUUAUAUCAAGUACAAGAUUUUAAGACAGAAGACUGUUUAUCUAUAUUAGAAUACAUAAAUAUGUCAUGAAUUAUUGACCAAUAUUUUUUACCCAUUUACAUUCAAAGAAAAAUGAUUAUAGUAUCACAUUUGAACAAAUCCCAAAUUGAAUUAUCAGAAUUUUCCAACGAUACAAAUUAUGAUUAAUUGCUGUAAUAUUAUGCAUUAAUUUCCAUCUGAACAUUUUCAUUCUAUUAUCUUUAAAAAUAGAAUGUAAGUAAGGUUCUUUUAUAAAUAAAUAAGUUAUCAAAAGUGAAUGAUUUUCAUACAUAGAAUCCUACUGGAGCUCUUUAUUAGAUUUAAUUAAAAUAUUAUAUAUUUCUUUGAUGAAAUUUUGUCCAGAUUGUAAUACAAUCCAUGCUAUUCAUCUUUAUAUCUUGUUGAAAAUAAUUUAGUAUUUGUAGAUGUUUUACUCUUUAAUUUUUUCUUUCCAAGAUUUGGUAUAGCUUACGUAACAUACAUGUUUCUGCUAUCCAAUUUUGUUUCCUUUUAAGUUUGUUUAAAAAAAUUUGAGAAAUUUCUCCUUUAUCGUCGAUUAUGUCAUUAAUAAAAAUUAUAUCUUCAUCUAUCCAGUGUUUAAAGUGCAAACUUUUGCCUUGAUUCUUAAUAUAUUGAUUUCCCAUAUAACUUGUUUCUGAUAUCUAAAAGUUCUCAGGGUUUUUUGUCUUCCGCCACCAUUUUAUCCAGCAUUUUAGAUUCUAAGUAAAAGUAGGCAGGUUUUUUAUGUUUUCUAAUGAUUUAUGAGACCCAGAUCAUUUUAAAUAUGAGGUUUUUAGCCCCAAACCACUGAAUAGUAGGUUGGAAUAAUUUUCCAGUUUGCCAAGUUUCAUCUGUAAGUCUUUUAACCCAAUUUUAUUGCUUCAAUGUAAGAAUCUGGAUCUGUCAUUUUUAACCCCCCUUCUAAAUAAUUUUUUAGCACUGAGCGUUUAACUUUCACUACAGCCCUCCCAUAAAAAAUUAUAUAUCACAUUCUUAAACUCAAUAUAGUUUCUGUCACAGAUUUAUUAGGAAUGAAUAUAUGUUAUAUUAGGUAUAACAAGUGUUUGAUGAUAGUGAUUUUACCAAUCAUGCUAAUUUUUCUUUUUUUCCAAUCAUUAAUUAUUUUUUCUGAUUUUUCCAACUGUUUUUCUGUAUUAAGUUUUUGACAUUCUUUCUUAUCAUAGCCAAAAUAAAUACCAAGACUUUUUACGUUAUGUUUCCAAUUAAUGUUUUCGAAUUUGUCCUUGCAGUGUUUAAGUUUACCUAGCCAUAUACCUUCUGUUUUGUUUCUAUUGAGUUUGAGUCCAGAAAGCGAUCCAAGGUUUCAAUUAUAUUAAGUGCAUGCUUUAUUUCAUUUUAGAUUUAAAAAAAAGAGUUGUGUCAUCUGCUAAUUGUGAAAUUUUUGGACUACGAGUUUUUUUUAUCAAUUUUGAUUUGUAUUCCUUUUAUAUCAUUAGAGUCUCUUAUUCUGCAAGCAAGUAAUUCACUGAUAAAAAAACAAUAAAGCGCUUAAAGACAUCCUUGUCGAAUACCGCCUCAAUGUUAAAGGUUUCUGAAAUCCACCGUUAUUUAAAAUACAUCCUUUUAUGUCAUAAUAUAGGGUUUUAACCACUUCUGAAAUGAUUCAUUAAACCAAAUUUCUUUAAUGAUUCCAACAUAAAAUCCCAUUCCAGUGAAUCAAAUGCUUUAGAAAAGUCGAUAAAUAAUAUAGCUCCUUCAAUAUUAAAAUUUUCAGAGUAAUCUAUAAUGUCUUGAAUUUGAUGCACAUUGAAUCCUAUAUAGCGAUUUUUUAUGUACUUUUGGUCCUCUAUGGAUUAUUAAUGGUAAGAUUUUUUUAAGUCUUUGUGCUAAAGUAUAUGUUAUAAUUUCACAUCUAUAUUUAAUAAGUUAUUGGACGGUAGUUAUCCAGGACAAAGGGUCAUUUUUCUUAUAAAUUAGUGAUAUAAUCCCAAUCUUUUUGGGUAAUUAGAUAAAGAUUUUUAUCAUAACAAGUAUUAGAGACUUUCAAAACUAUGUUCUUAAGUUUUGGCCAAAAUUGUCUGUAAAACUCUACAGUUAGACCGUCCUUCCCAGGUGUUUUAUUUAGUUUCAUUUUAAAAAUGGAGGAUGUUAACUCUUCUAAUGUUAAUUUACCAUCUACCUGUUUACUUUCAGAAGUUGUCAAAGAAUGAUUUAUGUUUGUACCCUCAAUAUAUGAUUUUAAGAUUUCAGUAUCAGGGUUAGAGCUUUUACAUAGGACUUUGUAAUACUCUUUACUCAUAUUAAGAAUUUCACUUUGAUCUACAGUUACCUCCCCAUUUUGGACAAUAACUUAUUAAUAGAUUUUUUUGAUGCUGUGUUUUUCUAAAGAUAAAAGAAUUUUGUAUUUUUUUCACCUUCCUCAACCCAUUUAAUUCUUGACCUAAUUUGGGCCCCUUUCGCCUUUGAUGAGUAUAUAUGGUCUAGUUCAUUUUCUAAUUGUUUAAUUUCAUUAAAAAGAAUAUUAUUUGUGUCUGUAGGUAAUGUAUCUAUCCUUUCGUUUAAAGUUUUAAUUUCGCUUUCCAAAACAUUGAUUUUAUUUUUUCUUUCUUUGGCUUUCGAUUUACAAUAUUUAAUUGUAGUGUCUCUGGUAUCAAUUUUGAACAAGUCCCACUGAGUAAGAAGAUUUUCAUUAUUAAAUUUAUUCUCAUACUUAUCAAUCAAUUUAUUUAUUAUUUCUUGAUAUUGAAAGUCGGCUAAUAUACUAUUAUUCAUUUUAAAGUAACCCUUUCCUCGAUUACUUGAAUAAAUAUCUAAUUUUAAAGAAAUAGCUUGGUGGUCUGUACUUGAAAUUUGAGCUGGUCUGAUGUCAGCUGAUACUGCCAGCAUGCGUACUUGUGAACUUAUUAUAAAAAAGUCAAUCCUACUUUCCUCAUUCAUUUUGUAGAUUUUUUCUUUUCCAAGUGUAUUGUUUUUUGGUUUUAUUUUAUAGCCUCCAAAUGUCUAUCAGUUUAUUUGUUUUAAUUACCUGUUUAAGAUUAUUUACUGGCUUUUUAAACUUUUUAUGAAGAUUUUUAUUUUUUGUAUCUAUACUAGAUAGAAGGUCAUUCAUAUCUCCUCCUACAAUUAAUGCACCAAGACUGUGCUCUUCAAUUAAACCUUGUACUUUUUUAAAGAAUGUGUUCCUUGCGUGAACUUCAUUUGGUGCAUACAAGUUUAAUAAAGUAAAUAUCUUAUCUUGAAUUUCCAAAUUAAUUAAAAUUAUUCUUCCUUCAUUGUCACAAAAUUCAUUUAUUAGUUUAAAAUCAAGUGUUUUGCUUAUAAAGAAAGAAACACCUCUCGAAUUUGUUUUGCCUAGACUGUGGUGGUGUUUUCCAUGAAACUCAUUAUUAAUUUUCGUUAUAAUAUCUUUUGAGAAAUGGGUUUCUUGUGCCAUUAAAAUGUCACACUUUUGUUGUUGAAACCAUGUGUAUAGUCUAAAGCGUUUUUCUUUCUUUGCUAACCCUUGACAAUUUAAUGAACAAAUAUGAAGAUUUUUAAUGUUCAUAGUAGUUAGUUGUAUUUGUUGUUAUAGGAAACAGUUCUAAAAAUCCAUUUAAAUGCCAACAGAAGUUUUUGCUUAUCGAGUUUCUGUUUGGUCGUGACCCAGAUAUACACCAGGUUAUUUAUAGAUCUAUAUAUAGCAUUGAUAAAGUUUAAAUCUAUUUUUAGUUUCAUUACUGACUUUCCGAAAAUCUCUCUUAAUAGGUAAUUGAAAUGUACCGGAUUUAGAAAGUUUUGAAGUGUAAUUAUUUUGAUGUUAAAAUUGACACUUACGGUAUUUAUAUAAAAUAUUCUACCUUCUACCUCAUAAAAAACUUUCUUUUCUUUUUCAGAUUCAACAUCAAAGGUUGAUGUGUUGACCUUGUAUGAGUUAACAACUACCUGAACUAUUUUUACAGUCAACAUGUGCAUGAUAUGGAAUGUAAACAAAUGAAUAAUUCUAGGAUUUUUUAUAUUUGAAACAUCAUAUACAGGAUUUACAUUGCAAUAUAGUGUGGAUACAUCAUUAUAUAGUGAAAUUGAUAUUCCAACUGAUUUUAACCAUUUAUGGAAAUUUAUAAAUUGACCUACUAGAUGAAUGGACUUUGACAGUAUAUCAAUCACAAACUUAGAACUAUAAAAUUGAAUUAGUUUACUGCCUAUCUGCGAUCCAUAUAAGUGAAUUAUAUUGAACAUAUCAACAAAAUCUUUUAAAGUGAUUCUGAUGCUUUUACAGUUCAUGAAUGCAGUACCAGUUUCAAGCGACUUAUAAAGUGUUUGUUUCCGAUAGAGUUUUUGUCUCUUUAUUCAAAAGAUUGUGUUUACAUUCUAAACAGUCUUCAUAUAGACUUUUAUCUGUGUU